UACCAGCUCUCCGAGUGGUGUGGAUGUUUAUUGGGCCUAAAGCAUCCGUAGCCGGCUGGGCAAGUCCCCUGUUAAAUCCACCGAUUUAAUCGUUGGAGUGCGGGGGAUACUGCUCGGCUAGGGGGCGGGAGAGGCAGACGGUAUUUUCGGGGUAGGGGUGAAAUCCUAUAAUCCCGAGAAGACCACCAGUGGCGAAGGCUGUCUGCUAGAACGUGCCCGACGGUGAGGGAUGAAAGCUGGGGGAGCGAACCGGAUUAGAUACCCGGGUAGUCCCAGCUGUAAACGAUGCAGGCUAGGUGUUUGGACGGCCACGUGCCGUUCUAGUGCCGCAGGGAAGCCGUUAAGCCUGCCGCCUGGGGAGUACGGCCGCAAGGCUGAAACUUAAGGGAAUUGGGCGGGGAGCACCACAAGGGGGUGAAGCUUGCGGUUU
rnacentral:rRNA from 1 species